rnacentral:tRNA from 1 species
GUCAAGAUGGCUGAGUGGUCUAAGGCACCAGACUCAAGUUCUGGUCUUCAUGAGUGGGCGUGGGUUCCAAUCCCACUUUUGACA